rnacentral:rRNA from 1 species
AAUAGAUACCCAGGUAGUCCACGCCCUAAACGAUGCUCACUAGGUGUUGGGGAAGCGAUUCCUUGGUACCGUAGCUAACGCGUGAAGUGAGCCGCCUGGGGAGUACGGCCGCAAGGUUAAAACUCAAAGGAAUUGACGGGGACCCGCACAAGCGGUGGAUGAUGUGGAUUAAUUCGAUGCAACGCGAACAACCUUAUUUACCCUUGACAUGUCCGGAAGCCUGCUGAAAGGCGGGGUGCUCGAAAGAGAACCGGAACACAGGUGCUGCAUGGCUGUCGUCAGCUCGUGUCGUGAGAUGUUGGGUUAAGUCCCGCAACGAGCGCAACCCUUGUCCCUAGUUGCUACGCAAGGGCACUCUAGGGAGACUGCCGGUGACAAACCGGAGGAAGGUGGGGAUGACGUCAAGUCCUCAUGGCCCCUAUGGGUAGGGCUUCACACGCCAUACAAUGGACGGUACAGAGGGUUGCCAACCCGCGAGGGGAGCCAAUCCCAGAAAGCCGUUCGUAGUCCGGAUCGCAGUCUGCAACUCGACUGCGUGAAGUCGG